AGAGUUUGAUCCUGGCUCAGAGCGAACGCUGGCGGAAUGCUUAACACAUGCAAGUCGCACGGGGGCUUCGGCUCUAGUGGCGGACGGGUGAGUAACGCGUAGGAACGUGUCUUGGGGUGGGGGAUAACGCUGGGAAACUGGCGCUAAUACCGCAUGUCUGCUGCGGCAGAAAGCCUUCGGGUGCCUUGAGAGCGGCCUGCGUCCGAUUAGCUAGUUGGUGGGGUAAAGGCUUACCAAGGCUUCGAUCGGUAGCUGGUCUGAGAGGACGAUCAGCCACACUGGGACUGAGACACGGCCCAGACUCCUACGGGAGGCAGCAGUGGGGAAUAUUGGACAAUGGGCGGAAGCCUGAUCCAGCAAUUCCGCGUGGGUGAAGAAGGUCUUCGGAUUGUAAAGCCCUUUCGACAGGGACGAUGAUGACGGUACCUGUAGAAGAAGCCCCGGCUAACUUCGUGCCAGCAGCCGCGGUAAUACGAAGGGGGCUAGCGUUGCUCGGAAUUACUGGGCGUAAAGGGCGCGUAGGCGGCUGUGUUAGUCAGGCGUGAAAUUCCUGGGCUCAACCUGGGGACUGCGCUUGAUACGGCAUGGCUUGAGGAUGGAAGAGGCUCGCGGAAUUCCCAGUGUAGAGGUGAAAUUCGUAGAUAUUGGGAAGAACACCGGUGGCGAAGGCGGCGAGCUGGUCCAUUACUGACGCUGAGGCGCGACAGCGUGGGGAGCAAACAGGAUUAGAUACCCUAGUAGUCC
rnacentral:rRNA from 1 species